rnacentral:rRNA from 1 species
GACGAACGCUGGCGGCGUGCUUAACACAUGCAAGUCGAACGAUGAAACCUAGCUUGCUAGGUCGAUAGUGGCGAACGGGUGAGUAACACGUGACUAACCUGCCCCUUUCUCUGGGAUAACGCUCCGAAAGGAGUGCUAAUACCGGAUACUCACAUCGAGGCACAUGCUUUGGUGUGGAAAGUUUUUCGGAAAGGGAUGGAGUCGCGGCCUAUCAGCUUUUUGGUGAGGUAACGGCUCACCAAGGCGACGACGGGUAGCCGGCCUGAGAGGGCGACCGGCCACACUGGGACUGAGACACGGCCCAGACUCCUACGGGAGGCAGCAGUGGGGAAUAUUGCACAAUGGGCGCAAGCCUGAUGCAGCGACGCCGCGUGAGGGAUGAAGGUCUUCGGAUUGUAAACCUCUUUCAGUAGGGACGAAGCGAAAGUGACGGUACCUAAAGAAGAAGCACCGGCUAACUACGUGCCAGCAGCCGCCGUAA